rnacentral:rRNA from 1 species
CAAUAGCGUAUAUUAAAGUUGUUGCGGUUAAAAAGCUCGUAGUUGGAUUUCUGCUGAGGACGAUCGGUCCGCCCACUGGGUGAGUAUCUGGCUCGGCCUUGGCAUCUUCUUGGAGAACGUUGCUGCACUUGACUGUGUGGUGCGGUAUCCAGGACUUUUACUUUGAGGAAAUUAGAGUGUUUCAAGCAGGCGCACGCCUUGAAUACAUUAGCAUGGAAUAAUAAGAUAGGACCUUGGUUCUAUUUUGUUGGUUUCUAGAGCUGAGGUAAUGAUUAAUAGGGAUAGUUGGGGGUAUUCAUAUUUGGCAGUCAGAGGUGAAAUUCUUAGAUUUGCUGAAGAUGAACAACUGCGAAAGCAUUUACCAAGGAUGUUUUCAUUAA